rnacentral:rRNA from 1 species
GACGAACGCUGGCGGCACGCCUAACACAUGCAAGUCGAGCGGUUCGGAGAUUGGAACUGAGGGAUUAAGGAAUUAAUCUCUGAGCUCCAAUUUCCGGAUAGCGGCGGACGGGUGAGUAACACGUGAGGAACCUGCCUUUCAGAGGGGGAUAACGUUUGGAAACGAACGCUAAUACCGCAUGAAGUAUGUUUACGGCAUCGUAGAUAUACCAAAGGAGCAAUCCGCUGAAAGAUGGCCUCGCGGCUGAUUAGCUAGUUGGCGGGGUAACGGCCCACCAAGGCGACGAUCAGUAGCCGGACUGAGAGGUUGAACGGCCACAUUGGGACUGAGACACGGCCCAGACUCCUACGGGAGGCAGCAGUGGGGGAUAUUGCACAAUGGGCGAAAGCCUGAUGCCGCGAUGCCGCGUGGAGGAAGAAGGUCUUCGGAUUGUAAACUCCUGUCUUUAGGGACGAUAAUGACGGUACCUAAGGAGGAAGCUCCGGCUAACUACGUGCCAGCAGCCGCGGUAAUACGUAGGGAGCGAGCGUUGUCCGGAAUUACUGGGUGUAAAGGGAGCGUAGGCGGGGCGGCAAGUCAGGUGUGAAAUACGGCAGCUCAACUGUCGCAGUGCCUUUGAUACUGAUAGGCUUGAAUGCGGAUGAGGUAGGCGGAAUGAGACAAGUAGCGGUGAAAUGCAUAGAUAUGUCUCAGAACUCCGAUUGCGAAGGCAGCUUACUAAGUCGUGAUUGACGCUGAUGCACGAAAGCGUGGGGAUCAAACAGGAUUAGAUACCCUGGUAGUCCACGCAGUAAACGAUGAUUACUGGCUGUUUGCGAUACAAUGUAAGCGGCUGAGCGAAAGCGUUAAGUAAUCCACCUGGGGAGUACGUUCGCAAGAAUGAAACUCAAAGGAAUUGACGGGGGCCCGCACAAGCGGAGGAACAUGUGGUUUAAUUCGAUGAUACGCGAGGAACCUUACCCGGGCUCGAACGGUGCAUGAAUGUUCAAGAGAUUGGAUAGUCCUUCGGGACAUGUAUCGAGGUGCUGCAUGGUUGUCGUCAGCUCGUGCCGUGAGGUGUCGGCUUAAGUGCCAUAACGAGCGCAACCCUUGUCAUUAGUUACCAUCAGGUAAAGCUGGGGACUCUGGCGAGACUGCCAUCGUAAGAUGCGAGGAAGGUGGGGAUGACGUCAAGUCAGCAUGACCUUUAUAUCUGGGGCUACACACACGCUACAAUGGUCGGUACAAUGCGUUGCCAAGCCGCGAGGCGGAGCUAAUCGCAGCAAAACCGGCCUCAGUUCGGAUAGGAGGCUGCAACCCGCCUCCUUGAAGUCGGAGUUGCUAGUAAACGCCGGUCAGCUAUACGGCGUUGAAUACGUUCCCGGGCCUUGUACACACCGCCCGUCACGUCAUGGGAGCUGGUAACACCUGAAGUCGGUGCGCCAACCGCAAGGAGGCAGCUGCCGAGGGUGGGACUGGUGACUGGGACG